UUGUUGCGGUUAAAAAGCUCGUAGUUGGAUCUCGGCAGGUAGGGGGCGGUUCGUUUCUGACGGUACUGCCCCAUUUACCUGUGUUUUUGACGGAGGUCUGAGGGUGCUCUUCACCGAGUGUCCCCAAACGCCGUCAGGUUUACUUUGAAAAAAUUAGAGUGCUCAAAGCAGGCUUCAAGCUUGAAUAUUUGUGCAUGGAAUAAUGGAAUAGGAAGUCGUUUCUAUUUUGUUGGUUUUCGGAAAUUGACUUAAUGAUUAAUAGGGACAGCCGGGGGCAUUAGUAUUCAGACGCUAGAGGUGAAAUUCUUGGACCGUCUGAAGACUAACUACUGCGAAAGCAUUUGCCAAGAGUGUUUUCAUUAAUCAAGAACGAAAGUUAGAGGUUCGAAGGCGAUCAGAUACCGCCCUAGUUCUAACCAUAAACGAUGCCAGCUAGCGAUCCGUAGCUGUUUUCAUGUAGGCUCUACGGGAAGCUUCCGGGAAACCAAAGCUGUGGGUUCCGGGGGAA
rnacentral:rRNA from 1 species